rnacentral:lncRNA from 1 species
GCUGUGAAUAAGUGACUGAAAUAAUGUCCACCAGGUAGCGCGAGUGUCUUCAGGGACGCUUAUCGGCCAUUUUGUUCCAAGACGCAGCAGAAAUGGGUUGUUGGUUGUGACGUUUCUCACGAUGAAAAUUAAAAGGUGAUUUAGCUCAUAGUAACCAAUUUGCCAAAUCAUUCAACUCAGACUUGGAAGUGCCUGUACAUUUCCGAAAUGGCGUGCCUCGUGUGUCUCGCUGCCUGCCUUAGACGUACGUCUCAUCGCAUGCAACAGCAAAAAGUAUAACAAACACUUCUUCAACGCUGUUGGUUACCUUGUUGCAGCCAAAUGGUGAAAGGUGUGACGAAGACAGAUUGAACCCUUGUAUGCAGCAUGCGGUUGCAGUGUAAUCCAGAAGUUGCUGUGCUGUUGUAGCUGAGCUGUUCCAUCUGGGUUCCUGACUUGAAAAUUUUUGUGUUGUCGUUUUUAUCCAUGCCAUGAAAUUUCUCUGUGUUAACUGUGUGCUGACUUAAAAGUUUGAUGUGUUGUCUUUCGAGUUUUCAUUCAAUCAUGCAGUAUACGACUGAGGCAACCUGAUCAAUAUCAGGUUUGACACAGUCGAGAA